rnacentral:rRNA from 1 species
UACGGGGGGAGCAAGCGUUGUUCGGAUUUACUGGGCGUAAAGGGCGCGUAGGCGGCCAGCACAAGUCAGUUGUGAAAUCUCCGAGCUUAACUCGGAACGGUCAACUGAUACUGUGCGGCUAGAGUGCGGAAGGGGCAACUGGAAUUCUUGGUGUAGCGGUGAAAUGCGUAGAUAUCAAGAGGAACACCUGCGGCGAAGGCGGGUUGCUGGGCCGACACUGACGCUGAUGCGCGAAAGCUAGGGGAGCGAACGGG